rnacentral:rRNA from 1 species
GUGCCAGCAGCCGCGGUAAUACGUAGGGGGCGAGCGUUGUCCGGAUUUACUGGGCGUAAAGCGCGUGUAGGCGGUACUCUAAGUCCGGGGUGAAAUCCGGGGGCUUAACCCCCGAACGGCGCCGGAAACUGGAGCGCUUGAGUGUCGGAGAGGGGAGUGGAAUUCUCGGUGUAGCGGUGAAAUGCGUAGAGAUCGAGAGGAACACCCGUGGCGAAGGCGGCUCCCUGGCCGAACACUGACGCUGAGACGCGAAAGCGUGGGGAGCGAACGGGAUUAGAAACCCGCGUAGUCC